rnacentral:ncRNA from 1 species
AUAUUGUUUUAUUUUUACAAAAAAUUUUAUUUAUAAUUUUUUUUACAUGUAAAUUUUUGUAUGAAUUUUUUUUUAUCUAAAGGAUAAAAAAUUUAUUUAUAUUCACAGUAAUUAAGUUUGUUAAAAUUAAAGAAAUUUAGAAUCAGAUAAAUUAUUUAGUAUUGGCUAAUAUUUGUGCCAGCUGCUGCGGUUAUACAAAAAAUGCAAAUAAAUAUUUUUAGUUUUAAAGUUAUAUUGGUAUUUAUUUAUAAUAAAAGUUAAUUUAUUAGGUGAAAUUUUAUGUUAAUAAUUUUAUAAUAUUAUAUUAAUAGAAGCUAUGAAAUUUUUAUUUUAAACUAGGAUUAGAUACCCUAUUAUUUUAAAUGUUAAUAACUUAAAGCUAGAAUAGUAUUAGUUUAUUUUCUUGAAAUUUAAAAAAUUUGGCGGUAUUUUAGUCUAUUCAGAGGAAUUUGUUUUAUAAUUGAUAUUCCACGAUGAAUCUUACUUAAAUUUGUAAUUAAUUUGUAUACCGUCGUUAUCAGAAUGUCUUUAAAAAGAGAAAAUUUUCUUAAUUUUUAAUUAAAAGUGAUUUCAGAUCAAGGUGCAGUUUAUAUUUAAGUUAAAAUGAGUUACAAUAAAUAUUUUAAUAUUUAAAUGAAUAAUUAAUUGAAAUAUUAAUUUGAAAGUGGAUUUGAUAGUAAAAUUAUAUAUUUUAUAUAGAUAAUUUGAUUAUAGCUCUAAAAUAUGUACAUAUCGCCCGUCGCUCUCGUUAUUAAAAUGAGAUAAGUCGUAACAUAGUAGAGGUACCGGAAGGUGUUUCUAGAAUGAC